AGGAAUAUUGGUCAAUGGCCGGAAGGCUGAACCAGCCAUGCCGCGUGAAGGUCAGUGCCCUAUGGGCGUUAAACUUCUUUUGUGCGGGAGCAAUAAGGUCCACGUGUGGGCCGACGAGAGUACCGUACGAAUAAGCAUCGGCUAACUCCGUGCCAGCAGCCGCGGUAAUACGGGGGAUGCAAGCGUUAUCCGGAUUUAUUGGGUUUAAAGGGUGCGUAGGCGGGCUUUUAAGUCAGCGGUAAAAAUUCGGGGCUCAACCCCGUCCGGCCGUUGAAACUGGGGGCCUUGAGUGGGCGAGAAGAAGGCGGAAUGCGUGGUGUAGCGGUGAAAUGCAUAGAUAUCACGCAGAACCCAGAUUGCGAAGGCAGCCUUCCGGCGCCCUACUGACGCUGAGGCACGAAAGUGCGGGGAUCGAACAGG
rnacentral:rRNA from 1 species